rnacentral:rRNA from 1 species
UACGGAGGGAGCUAGCGUUGUUCGGAAUUACUGGGCGUAAAGCGCACGUAGGCGGCUUUGUAAGUUAGAGGUGAAAGCCCGGAGCUCAACUCCGGAAUUGCCUUUAAGACUGCAUCGCUUGAAUCCAGGAGAGGUGAGUGGAAUUCCGAGUGUAGAGGUGAAAUUCGUAGAUAUUGGGAAGAACACCGGUGGCGAAGGCGGCCAUCUGGACCGCAACUGACGCUGAGGCGCGAAAGCGUGGGGAGCAAACAGG